GGUAAAUUAACUUCCGGUAGAUUUUUUUUUUACGUAUAAAGAAACCAUUCUCGAAGAUUUUUACCACCACUUUUACAGCAAAUCAUGAAUGGAAACUGAAUUGUUAAAGAAGAUGUUACAGAGGAGCAUACUACUUCCAAAAACCUGAUUUGAUUGUCACUAACUUUCAAAUUGAAAGGGAUCUACUACAACUGCUCAUGAAUUUCGAGAUUUUACAGCUAAUAGAGGAACAAAUUUUAUCUGCUUCCACUUAGCCAAACAGCAUGGAAAUAUGCUAUUGUAAUGAGUAGAAGAUAUUUGUCAUUUAGAGUAUCAUGCAACAGCUAAUUAUCAGUCCACACAUUUCAAGAUGAGGAAAAGAACAGUAUAAGCUACAUUCAUUGAUGCAUUAUUUAUACAAAAAUGUAUAGUCAACCCAGUCAUCACUCCAUUUUUUUAUGAAGCCAGUUACAGUUACCAUGAAGGGAUGAAAUUUCAGAUAAUAUUUUGUUUAUUUCAUGAAAUGAGAAUAGGCCUACAUCAGAAAUUGAGAUGGUCAUCUUCAGUAUUUAAUGUUUCAUCUAAAAAUGAUAAUUAUAUUAAUACAUAUUUGAUGUACAAACAAAUGAAAACCAUUCAAACACUUUUUUUUUGUGAAGUAUAGAUGAUUAAACUUGUAAGUGUCUGAACAAUA